UGCGUGUAAAUAAGGAAAUCGAUGAUGACAUUUGGGUUAGUUUAACAGUGGCACGGCAUUAUCGGCCAAUGUUGCCACUCAUUACUACUCGUAGUAAGUUGUUGGUAGUUAGUGGGAUCCGUAGAGUACAGUUGAUAAUGACGUGUGGUAUGUUGAUUCAUUCAUAAAUUCUAUGCGGUUAUGAGAGAGAAUUAUUUAAAACCGAGGCGAAUAAUUGGAAAAGGCCAGAUAUAACAACGAUGAAGAGAAUAUUAAAUAGAAAUAUCGGAUAGCGUCCAAUAUGUCGGCCCUGGAAAAAUCGCCAUUGUUUCAACUCUGGCCUAUAAAAGGGCAUAGCAAGGGGAAAAACGGCAUUAGUUGUGAAAAGAGUGGUGCUGAGCAGGCACAGAUUAAUAGUGAUCUUAAAUCGGGUGGUAUUUGUUUUUAAGGAUAGAGUCUAACGUCGAUUUUUAUUUAAAUAAUUAAAGCCCCUGUGAAUGCAAAAGGUAAAUUUAUUGGGUUUAGUUUUUUUUGUGUGCCCAAUAUGAAAAUUUUCCCAGUUUUCAGGAGGCGAAGGAAUAAAUCUAGUGGAAAGGUUAUCCAGGAAAACAUUGGAAGUGAUUCCUACAUCAUAGUAGCCCCAGAAUACACGCCGUAACCAGCGUUGGUUGCAGAAUUAAGGUAGAAGCGUUCCAUUUAAUUUUUCCAAAAUUUAAUGUGGCCGAGAAUUUGAAUAAAAGGAGUAUUAAAGUCCGUCCUUCGGAGA